rnacentral:piRNA from 1 species
UGUUUAAUGCCAUAGUCACUUCCCUAAU